GAAAGCUUGCCGAUUGGUCGCCUCUGCUUUCUCUUCUUGCGUCUGAAAGGGAGAUGCCUGCCCUGAAUCAUGGCCUGAUCAUCGGUCGUGUCUUUAGAUUCCAAAUAAAGGUCAGCGGUCGCGUUGCUUUGGUAAAGAGUUGAUUAGUCAGGAUAAUCACGCCGCCGCCAUUCUUGUUGACGGGGAGUAUCGGAAUAUGCCGGUGUCCGGCAGCGGUCAGACACGCCGGCGGCGGCUUUGGCGAGACGAGUGCUGGGCUCGUCGGUGGACCGAACGGAAUUUGGUUUGGACACCACGUGCCAUACAAAACAAUCUUCUUGUUGCCAAAUUGUCUUGAU
rnacentral:rRNA from 1 species